GACGAACGCUGGCGGCGUGCUUAACACAUGCAAGUCGAACGGAAAGGCCCAGCUUGCUGGGUGCUCGAGUGGCGAACGGGUGAGUAACACGUGGGUGAUCUGCCCCUAACUUCGGGAUAAGCUUGGGAAACUGGGUCUAAUACCGGAUAGGACAAUCGUUUAGUGUCGGUUGUGGAAAGUCUUUGCGGUUAGGGAGGAGCCCGCGUCCUAACAGCUUGGUGGUGGAGUAAUGGCCUACCAAGGCGUCGACGGGUAGCCGGCCUGAGAGGGUGGACGGCCACAUUGGGACUGAGAUACGGCCCAGACUCCUACGGGAGGCUGCAGUGGGGAAUAUUGCACAAUGGGCGCAAGGCUGAUGCAGCGACGCCGCGUGGGGGAUGACGGCCUUCGGGUUGUAAACCUCUUUCGACAGGGACGAAGCUUUGGUGACGGUACCUGUAUAAGAAGCACCGGCUAACUACGUGCCAGCCGCCGCCGUAA
rnacentral:rRNA from 1 species